rnacentral:rRNA from 1 species
GACGAACGCUGGCGGCGUGCUUAACACAUGCAAGUCGAACGCUGAAGCUCAGCUUUUGUUGGGUGGAUGAGUGGCGAACGGGUGAGUAACACGUGAGUAACCUGCCUCCUUCUUUGGGAUAACGCCCGGAAACGGGUGCUAAUACUGGAUAUUCACUGGUCUUCGCAUGGGGGUUGGUGGAAAGGGUUUUUCUGGUGGGGGAUGGGCUCGCGGCCUAUCAGCUUGUUGGUGGGGUGAUGGCCUACCAAGGCUUUGACGGGUAGCCGGCCUGAGAGGGUGACCGGGCACAUUGGGACGGAGAUACGGCCCAGACUACUACGGGAGGCAGCAGUGGGGAAUAUUGCACAAUGGGCGCAAGCCUGAUGCAGCGACGCCGCGUGAGGGAUGGAGGCCUUCGGGUUGUGAACCUCUUUCGCUCAUGGUCAAGCCGCAACAAUGGUUGUGGUGAGGGUAGUGGGUAAAGAAGCGCCGGCUAACUACGUG